AUGACCCAACACUCCGGGCCCAGCCGAGCCCCGCGCCCUGCUUCCCAGCCCAAGCCCGCUAAGUUGGCUCCCGGGGUCUGGGAGGAGGGGAAGUUCUGGAGGAGCAGCAGCGAGCCUCCGUGCCGACAGGAGGCCGCCGGGCAGGGCGGCGGGGCUCCCGGGAGCGGCGCCCGGAACAACGAGGCCCGGCGGGACGUCUCCGGCCCGGCCGGGAGGCGAACCCUCUCAAGGGCAAGGGGGGCCCGCCUUGGGCCCGGGCUCGGGCACACCAGGCCCCGCCGCGGGCAGGGCCGGGGGAGGGGAACAAAGAGGCUAAUAAGCAGGGGAAGCGGCAGCCGCCCCGCCGCCUCACCCAGGGCCGGGGUCUCGCUCGCGGCCCGCCGCCGGGCAUCCCGGAUCCCGGCCCCCAGGCCUGGCCCUCCCGACCGCCCACGGCGCGCCCGCCUUCCCCUCCCUCAAGCUCUUACCCGGGCUUGUCGUCCCAAACCGCUCCGGUCCAGCUCCGAGCAGGCCGCGGGCAGAGCCAGGCCCGGCCGCGGCCCUCGAGUUCCCAGGAAGCCGCAGGCCGCGCAGGUCGAGCCGGGCAGGCGACACAGGAAAAGCCGCGUCUCGUCCCUCCCCUUCCUCCGCGGGGACCGGGUGACAGGGAAGCGAGAGGUUUCCCCGACCGCGGCCGCCGGUGCACUUUCCGUCCGCAGCACGCGGCUCCUCAGGCCCUGCAGCUCAGAGGCCCGCGCGGUGCUGCCGGCGGCGGCGGCGGGGGGAGGCCGCGUCCAUCGCGAUCCGGGCGGGGGAAGGGAGGAGGGUCCGGCGGGCGGGCGGGCGGAGAGGCUGCGGAGGGCAGCGAGCGCGGCAGGGGCGGAGCAAAGCGGCGCUCCUGGGCGGCGACCCCACCGGCCGCCACGAGGGGCGCUGCGGAGACCCGUCGGCGAGGAGCGCAGGGGCGCCGGCCGGGGCGCUCUGGCCUCCGGGCCUCGGGCUCCCUCGCCUCCUCAGCUGUCGCUUGGCUCUCGGACGCCCUGGCGCCUCUACGCCCCGCUGUCAAUCCGAGCGCGCCGCCGGCGCCCCGCGCAGCCCGGCGCACGCACGCUCCGCUGUUGGGCGCGGCGUCGCCGCACUCAGGGCGCUCCUGCUGCAGGUCCCCCGCACGGCCGAGCCUCCGGCGGCCCGGCGAGCCUGCUCCGGCCCGGGCUUGCCUCCCUCCCCGCUGCUCCCCCGCCUGCGCACGGAAGUGCGUCGCGGGAGGAGAAGCGCCUCCCUUCGGUCCCGGGAGGCAGAGCGCCCCGCAGCUCGCCAGCAAGAAAACCUUUCCCCGCAACCCUCGGCGGUCAAUAUGGUCGCGUCUUCUCUCCGUUGUACGGAUGGGAGAACUGA
rnacentral:lncRNA from 1 species